CUGUCCAUCAUCUGGGUCAUAUAUAGUUCAAUGCGAGCUGAGCAGACAGGGCUGCAAGGAAAUCUGGCGCGGUUCAAUACCUCGUCUAGCCUGGGUUCCAGCAUCUAAUUUUUUUUUACUGACAAAUUCAUUUCUCUACCGGGACAGGAUGCUGUGCUGGCUGGAAGUUCCAUUUCUACAGCAAGAAUCCUAUCUGGAAACACAGAAGUUGUCCUCUAGCCACAGCAGCUUGAACUUUUUUGAUUGUUGUUGCUGCUUUCUCCCAUCACCCCCACCCCCUUUUGACAAAGAUCCAACUGUAAAAAGUCUUACGUAACAGUUCAGGACUACUUCGGUUCUUUUACUGGUAUAUCAAGAGGCCUCAUGAGGACUAUGAAAACAAUUACAUCUCCAAUGUGGGUUUCAGUAUUUCGUAGUAACUCUGGAAAAGGAAAAGAGGAAAGAACCUGUCUGAAAAACAGUGGAAUAACCCUGAACCUGAGGCACAGAAGAAAUCUCUUUGGAAACCUAUUCCACAGUGAAUUAUUCUAC